UACGUAGGGGGCAAGCGUUGUCCGGAUUUAUUGGGCGUAAAGAGCGUGUAGGCGGCCAGGUAGGUCAGCUGUGAAAACUCGAGGCUCAACCUCGAGACGCCGGUUGAAACCAUCUGGCUAGAGUCCGGAAGAGGAGAGUGGAAUUCCUGGUGUAGCGGUGAAAUGCGCAGAUAUCAGGAAGAACACCCGUGGCUAAGGCGGCUCUCUAGGACGGUACUGACGCUGAGACGCGAAAGCGUGGGGAGCGAACAGG
rnacentral:rRNA from 1 species